rnacentral:tRNA from 1 species
GGCUCGGUGGUCAAGGGGUCAAGACGCCGCCCUCUCAAGGCGGAAUCACGAGUUCGAUUCUCGUCCGGGCUA